ACGAACGCUGGCGGCAUGCCUAACACAUGCAAGUCGAACGAGACCUUCGGGUCUAGUGGCGCACGGGUGCGUAACGCGUGGGAACCUGCCCUUAGGUUCGGAAUAACUCCCCGAAAGGGGUGCUAAUACCGGAUAAUGUCUUCGGACCAAAGAUUUAUCGCCUUUGGAUGGGCCCGCGUUGGAUUAGCUAGUUGGUAGGGUAAAAGCCUACCAAGGCGACGAUCCAUAGCUGGUCUGAGAGGAUGAUCAGCCACACUGGGACUGAGACACGGCCCAGACUCCUACGGAAGGCAGGAGUGUGGAAUAUUGGACGAGGGGCGAAAGCCUGGUCCAGCAGUGCCGCGUGAGUGAUGAAGGGCUUAGGGUUGUAAAGCUCUUUUACCCGGGGUGAUAAUGACAGUACCGGGAGAAUAAGCUCCGGCUAACUCCGUG
rnacentral:rRNA from 1 species